rnacentral:pre_miRNA from 8 species
GUGUGAAUAAGAGAGAGGUGUGUGUGCUGCAGCUGGUGUUGUGAAUCAGGCCGAUGUCACACGUCAGCGAUAACCCGGCUAUUUCACAACACCAGGGUGGCACCACACCGCUGCCAACAGUGGAAAUC